rnacentral:rRNA from 1 species
AGAGUUUGAUCCUGGCUCAGAACGAACGCUGGCGGCAGGCCUAACACAUGCAAGUCGAACGUUCUCCUCUUCGGAGGAGGUACGUGGCGGACGGGUGAGGAACACGUGGGCAACCUGCCCUCAGGUGGGGGAUAGCCCGUGGAAGCGCGGGGUAAUACCUCAUGUGCUGGUCCGUCGGUGGGACGGAUCAGGAAAGUCCUUCGGGGCGCCUGUGGAGGGGCCUGCGGCCGAUUAGCUGGUUGGUGGGGUAACGGCCUACCAAGGCGGUGAUCGGUAGCUGGUCUGAGAGGACGGCCAGCCACACGGGGUCUGAGACACGGCCCCGACUCCUACGGGAGGCAGCAGCAAGGAAUUUUCCGCAAUGGGCGAAAGCCUGACGGAGCAACGCCGCGUGGGGGAGGACGCUUUUCGGAGUGUAAACCCCUUUUCUCAGGGAAGAAUUCUGACGGUACCUGAGGAAGAAGGACCGGCUAACUACGUGCCAGCAUCCGCGGUAAUACGUAGGGUCCGAGCGUUGUCCGGAUUUACUGGGCGUAUAGCGCGCGCA